UACGUAGGGGGCUAGCGUUGUCCGGAUUUAUUGGGCGGAAAGAGCGUGUAGGCGGCCAUGUAGGUCCGGUGUGAAAACUCGAGGCUUAACCUCGAGAUGUCAUCGGAAACCAUUUGGCUAGAGUCCGGAAGAGGAGAGUGGAAUUCCUGGUGUAGCGGUGAAAUGCGCAGAUAUCAGGAAGAACACCAAUGGCGAAAGCAGCUCUCUGGGACGGUACUGACGCUGAGACGCGAAAGCGUGGGGAGCGAACAGG
rnacentral:rRNA from 1 species